GGUAUGGGAUGAGCUUGCGUCCGAUUAGCUAGUUGGCGGGGCAACGGCUCACCAAGGCGACGAUCGGUAGCCGGCCUGAGAGGGUGAUCGGCCACAUUGGGACUGAGAUACGGCCCAGACUCCUACGGGAGGCAGCAGUAGGGAAUAUUGCACAAUGGGGGGAACCCUGAUGCAGCAACGCCACGUGUGGGAAGAAGCAUUUCGGUGUGUAAACCACUGUCGUGAGGGAAUAAGGCCUGUUCUAGGACAGGAUUGAAUGUACCUCGAAAGGAAGCACCGGCAAACUUCGUGCCAGCAGCCGCGGUAAUACGAGGGGUGCAAGCGUUGUUCGGAAUCACUGGGCGUAAAGGGAGCGUAGGCGGAGAUUCAAGCGGAUUGUACAAUCCCGGGGCCCAACCCCGGACCUGCAGUCCGAACUGGAUCUCUUGGAUAGUUCAGGGGCAGGC
rnacentral:rRNA from 1 species